AGGCUGAGAACUUCUGCUUUAGAAGGUUG
rnacentral:piRNA from 1 species